rnacentral:rRNA from 1 species
UACGAAGGGGGCUAGCGUUGUUCGGAAUUACUGGGCGUAAAGAGCUCGUAGGCGGUCUGUCGCGUCUGCUGUGAAAACUCGGGGCUUAACCCCGGGCCUGCAGUGGGUACGGGCAGACUAGAGUGCGGUAGGGGAGACUGGAAUUCCUGGUGUAGCGGUGAAAUGCGCAGAUAUCAGGAGGAACACCGGUGGCGAAGGCGGGUCUCUGGGCCGUAACUGACGCUGAGGAGCGAAAGCGUGGGGAGCGAACAGG